rnacentral:rRNA from 1 species
AGAGCGAACGCUGGCGGCAGGCCUAAUACAUGCAAGUCGAACGAACCCUUCGGGGUGAGUGGCGGACGGGUGAGUAACACGUGGGAACGUACCCUUUGGUUCGGAACAACUCAGGGAAACUUGAGCUAAUACCGAAUGUGCCCUUCGGGGGAAAGAUUUAUCGCCAUUGGAGCGGCCCGCGUCUGAUUAGCUUGUUGGUGGGGUAAAGGCCCACCAAGGCAACGAUCAGCAGCUGGUCUGAGAGGAUGAUCAGCCACACUGGGACUGAGACACGGCCCAGACUCCUACGGGAGGCAGCAGUGAGGAAUUUCGUCAAUGGGGGCAACCCUGAACGAGCAACGCCGCGUGCAGGAUGAAGGUUUUCGGAUCGUAAACUGCUUUUCUCGGGGACGAGCAAGGACGGUACCCGAGGAAGAAGCCCCGGCUAACUACGUGCCAGCAGCCGC